rnacentral:rRNA from 1 species
UACGGGGGGGGCAAGCGUUGUUCGGAAUUACUGGGCGUAAAGGGCUCGUAGGCGGCCAACUAAGUCAGACGUGAAAUCCCUCGGCUUAACCGGGGAACUGCGUCUGAUACUGGAUGGCUUGAGUUUGGGAGAGGGAUGCGGAAUUCCAGGUGUAGCGGUGAAAUGCGUAGAUAUCGGGAGGAACACCUGUGGCGAAGGCGGCCACCUGGAAGAUAACUGACGCUGAGACGCGAAAGCGUGGGGAGCAAACAGG